AUUUAAACCAUUUACGUAUAAAUUAAUUAAUCUUUAACAGGAAGAAGGAAAAAUAACUUGAAACCGGUGUUAUGUGGAUGUUUAACACUCCAAAAAAUACAAACUCACCAAAAUAUCUGCGAGUGGAAGGCAGAGGAGCCGUUAAACCUCUUUAGAUGUAAAUACGAAUUAAAUUCUUUUAUGCAAAUAAAUGUAUGUAAUACGAAUGAUGAGAAAGGCAAUAAGCGAAAUAAAACAUUAAUCUAUAAUUCA
rnacentral:lncRNA from 1 species